UAUGUUCUAAAGUUUGCUUCUUUGUUCUACGAGGUUUUCGACAAACUUUUCCAGCCAAAUAACUUUGUCAACCAAAAACCACAAACCAAACCCAGAUAAGCAGCAAACACAGUAUAGAUUGAUGGAAAAAAAACAUGUUUUUUAUUUUUUUUCCAACUGUGUGCAAAGUAUUUCCAUAAUACUAUGUCUUUGAUCAUUUUUUUUAAACUGUGAUCAUUAUACUCUUUUAUUUUCUAGCUGUGGUGCUGUUUGAUGUCAACAGGACCCCAGAGGAGCGUCAGUUUGGACAGAAAUCCCCGCCGCCGUCUGACAGACAGUUCAGUUCAGCUGAGUCACUGGUGAGCUCUGCUGCUGACAGCCAAUGAACACCCUCCAAGAUCCUCCUGUAUUCAGGUCAAUGACAGACGAGCGCCGCCGCUAAUCCAUGGAGCGCAGGACGUUCUGCGGAGUCACAGCCGGAGCGGAAACAUCCAUUCCUGCUGGAUUCCUCCUACAGAGGCGCUCGAUAACGAGAGCGAGCAGCAACAGAGACGGAGAGUAAAUCACUCAGGACUCACUGACCUGCACUGAUCAAUAGCGGCCCCGAUGGCGUUUGGCUGAGAAUGCAAAAGCGCUGUCUUCAGCUGAGCUACAAUGUGCUGCGGCGGCAUACAUCAACGGCCGGCCGCCGGUUUGAGAGCCGUCCGUACAUCACAGUCAGACCGACGUUUGGAAGAGAUCAUUAAAGCAACAUUUACAGGUUUAUGCAUCUCCAAAAAAGAAAAAAACAUACAUUUGAUUAUAAACUCAUUUGAAAUGUCAUAAUCCUGAACGUCGGUUUAUCCUUACAAUUUAAUGAUUGGAAAGGUGCAGGUAGAAGUGAUGAAACAAGAGGAAAACCUCAGACAAAAUGAUAACUUUUAGUCAGAAAAUGAGUCAAAAUUUGAGAGGAUGGCAAGAAAAUUAACAAAAAUAGGCCAGAACUGGGAGAUACAAGUGAUACGCAGGCUACAAAUAAACCCAGAAUGUAUUGUGUAUUUAUUAAAAAAGCAAUUGCAGUAUUACACAAAGUAAAAUGGUUCUUAGACAGUAAUUCAUUAUAUCUAUUAUAUAAUUCCUUGAUUAUGCCAUAUCUGAACUACUGUAUAGAAAUUUGGGGUACAACUUAUAAAACAUAUAUUUAUCCAAUUUACAUAUUGCAAAAAAAAGCAAUAAGAAUUAUUACCAAAAGUAAUUAUAGGGACCCGUCUAAUCCAUUAUUUAUUAAAUUAAAACUAUUAAAACUUUACGAUCUUAUAAACUUUAAUAUUUUGAAAUUUAUGUUUAAAGUAAAUAUGAAAUGCCUUCCUCCUAAUUUAAUGAAAAGAUACAUGAAAAGAAAAAGUAAAUUUAAUCUAAAAGGACAUGAAAUAUUUGUGAAACCAAAACACAGAAUAUUGCUAAAAGAACGAUGUAUAUCAGUAGAUGGAGUUACCAAAUGGAAUAAAUUGAGCGUAGAAAUUAAAAAUGCUACAUCAGUAUCAAGUUUUAAAAACUACAUUAAAAACAGUAUUAUCAACGACUAUAAAACUAUCUAAAACAGAUAACAUUUACUCAUCCCAAAUGUAUGAUUUUCCUUUCACACUGGUUGAUGUUGUAGUUAUAAGAUUUUGGUUUUUUUUUUCUUUCCCAAUCUUCUCCAAUUGUAUAUUGAACCAGCCGAAUGCUUGUGUAUCUGUAUCUUUCUUUUUUAAUUGAUUGAUUUAUUGGUUUUUUACAAGGGGCAGACAAAAUAAGUUUUUCUUCUUUCUGUCCCCUUUUCAUUUUUUUUUCCCUUUAUAUCAUGCUUGAGCUUACAACUCAAGUUUAUGUUGUAUGUUUUUUAAUGAAUAAAAAUGAAAUAAAAAAAUAAAAAAAAUAAAAAAA